rnacentral:rRNA from 1 species
GACAGAGGGUGCAAACGUUGUUCGGAAUUACUGGGCGUAAAGCGCGUGUAGGCGGCUAUGCAAGUCGGAUGUGAAAGCCCUCGGCUCAACCGGGGAAGUGCACCCGAAACUGCAAAGCUAGAGUCUCGGAGAGGAUCGUGGAAUUCUCGGUGUAGAGGUGAAAUUCGUAGAUAUCGAGAGGAACACCCGUGGCGAAAGCGGCGCGCUGGACCACUACUGACGCUGAGGAACGAAAGCUAGGGGAGCAAACAGG